UACGUAGGGUGCAAGCGUUGUCCGGAAUUAUUGGGCGUAAAGAGCUCGUAGGCGGUCUGUCGCGUCGGCUGUGAAAACCUGGGGCUUAACUCCGGGCCUGCAGCCGAUACGGGCAGACUAGAGUUCGGCAGGGGAGACUGGAAUUCCUGGUGUAGCGGUGAAAUGCGCAGAUAUCAGGAGGAACACCGGUGGCGAAGGCGGGUCUCUGGGCCGAUACUGACGCUGAGGAGCGAAAGCGUGGGGAGCGAACAGG
rnacentral:rRNA from 1 species